GAAGCUGCGAAACCUUUGGCUGGACCCGAAUGUCGUCGGCCUUUGAAUGUGGAAGGAGAAAUGUUUGUUCUGUCUGUGGGAUAGAAUUUCAGACAUCAGUGUGACUGGAAAAGCAGCAAAACCCAUGGACUGAGUGAGUGUUCCAUUGCACUGACUGUGGAAAGAGUUUUAAGUCUGACUGCAUCACACCGUUCACAGUGGGGAGAGACUGUGCACAUGUCCCUUGAUCGGGCAAAAGUUCAAUUGAUUGUACAACCUGGAGAGAGACAAGGAUGCUGGCACCACGGAGAAAAGAUAUAAAUGUGAGGACUGUGGGAAGGGUUACAAUUACCCGUCCCAGCUAAAAAUUCACCAGCGCACUCACACUGGGGAGCGGCCCUUCACUUGCUCAGUGUGUGGGAAUAGAUUUGCUGAGACAUCUAGCCUCCUGUCACACCAGCGAGUUCACACUGGGGAGAGGCCAUUCGCCUGCUCCAUGUGCGGGAAGACGUUCACCCGGUCGUACAACCUGCAGACCCACCAGCGAGUUCACACCGACACCAGGCCUUUUAAAUGUCCUCAUUGCGGGAAGAGUUUCAAAAGCAAGAACAAUCUGCAGACGCACCUGCACACUCACACUGGGGAGAGGCCAAUCACCUGCUCCAUGUGUGGGAUUGGAUUCACCAACUCGACUGACCUGCUGACGCACCGGCGAGUCCACACUGGGGAGAAACCCUUCACCUGCUCCGUGUGUGGGAAGGGAUUCGCUCGCUCGUACCAUUUGCUGACUCACCAGCGAGUCCACAGUGACAGCAGACCCUUCAAAUGUUCCGAGUGCGAGAAGAGCUAUAAGACCGCAAAAGAUCUGCUGAUGCACCAAAGCACUCACACCGGGGAGAAGCCGUUUUCCUGCACUGAAUGUGGGAAGGGAUUUGUUCGGUCGCAGCACCUGCUGAGACACCAGCAAGUUCACACCAAGGAGAAACCGUUCGUCUGUUCUGUGUGCGGCAAGGGGUUCAGCCAGAAGUCCCAUCUCUUUGGACACCAGCAUCUCCACACGGGGGAGAGGCCAUUCAUGUGCUCCGUGUGUGGGAAGGGGUUUAUCCAGUCAUCCCACCUCGUGAUUCACCAGCGGGUUCACACUGGGGAGCGGCCGUUUGUCUGCCUGGUGUGUGGGAAGGGCUUCACUCUGUCGACCUCCCUGCUGAGGCACCAGCAACUUCACCCGUUACCACAGGACUUUGGAUCCCUCUCUUAAUCACGUCCUGGACUGAACGGCAUUCAUCCUGAUGUUUGGGGGAAGGGGAUGCUUCCAAAGUAUUAGAAAAAGAGGAGAAGGUAGCUGAGACACCACGCUAAAAGCUGAUAACUUGGAAGAGUUGGCUGAACCUAAGGUUGUACUGCUCAUUAUGGACAAGUUACGCCUGCCAAUCAACCCACCAGCCCUUGCACCUGUGGGGUGCGGGAGGAAGCUGGAGCGCCCGGAGGAAACCCACGCAGGCUGAGGGAGAACAUGCAAACUCCCGGAGACGCCACCUGAGGUCAGGAUGGAACCUGGGUCGCUGGAGGGGUGAGGCAGUGGCUGUGGGAUGCAGGAGAAAGAAGACCGAAGUGCUGGUUAUGCUCUCAGUGUGCCUACGAGAGACUGUUUGUGCUGAGGUAUGUUUCACACCGUUCAAUUCUUUCCCAGGUUGUGGCUUAAUUUCCAGCAGGUGACAUCAAUACCCAGCUGGGAAUGUCAAACAAAAAAUGAUUGAAACAGAUUUAUUUUUGUAAGGCCAAUCUAUCAGGGGUUACAGCCCUAAAGGAUCAGAAUCAAGUUUAUUAUCACUGAGAUAUGUUGUGAAAUUUGUUGUUUUCGCAGCAGCAGUACGGUGCAAGACACAAAAGUUACUAUAAGUUACAAAAAUAAAUAAAUCAUGCAAAAGAGGAAUAACAAGGUUGGGUUCAUGGACCUUUCAGAAAUCUGAUAGCGGAGGGGAAGAAGCUGUUCCUGAAACGUUGAGUGUGGGUCUUCAGGCUCCUGAACCUCCUCCCCGAUGGUAGUAACGUGAAGAGGGCACGUCCUGUGUGGUGAGGGUCCUUAGUGAUGGAUGCCAACUUCUUGAGGCACCGUCUCUUGAAGGUGUCUUCAGUGGCAGGGAGGGUUGUGCCCGUGAUGGAGCUGGCUGAGUCUACAACCCCCUGCAGCCUCUUUCAAUCCUGUGCAUUGGAGCCUUCAGACCAGGCAGUGAUGCAACCAGUCAGAAUGCUCUCCACUGCACAUUUGUAGGUUCACUGUUGGGGCCUGACGCCUUGAAGGGUGUUCUGAUGUUGACCUCCAAGACAGAGAUCACAGGGUUGCUAGAUGCUGUGGGGAUUCACACAGGUGUAGUGUUAUUCUCCCUUUCAAAGCAUACGUAAAAGGCAUUGAGCUCAUCAGCGAGUGAAACAUCACUGCCGUUUAUGCUGUUAGUUUUCGCCUUAUUGGAAGUAAUGGCAUGCAAAUCUUGCCACAGCUGUCGUGCGUUCAAUUGUGCCUCUAUCUUCACAUGGAAUUGCCUUUUCACUCUUGCAAUGGCCUUCUGUAGGUCGUACUUGGACUUCUUGUAGGGUUCUGGAUCGCUAGUCUCGAACACCACGUUUCUAGCCCUCAGCAGAGUACGAAUCUCCUGGUUCAUCCAGGGCUUCUGGUUUGGGAAGGCUUGGUAUGUUCUCGAAGGCAUGCACUCAUCCAUGCAAGAGGGCCUGUCCUGGAUGGUGUGGGUCAGUGAUGGAUGCUGCCGUCUUGAGGCACUGCCUCUUGAAGACAUCUUGAAGUAACCAGGAAUAACUGGUGCAGAGGCAACAAUCUGCUGGGGGAUCUC